UCCUGGCUCAGGAUGAACGCUAGCGGAGGCCUAAUACAUGCAAGUCGAGCGGUAGAGUGACUUCGGUUGCUUGAGAGCGGCGAACGGGUGAGUAACGCGUACACAAUCUACCUUUAAGAGGGGAAUAGCCCUGGGAAACUGGGAUUAAUGCCCCAUGGCAUCACGAGACGGCAUCGUUUUGUGAUUAAAGCUGAGGUGCUUAGAGAUGAGUGUGCGUCUGAUUAGCUAGUUGGUGCGGUAACGGCGCACCAAGGCGACGAUCAGUAGGGGGCGUGAGAGCGUGGACCCCCACACGGGUACUGAGACACGGACCCGACUCCUACGGGAGGCAGCAGUAAGGAAUAUUGGUCAAUGGAGGAAACUCUGAACCAGCCAUCCCGCGUGCAGGAAGAAUGCCCUAUGGGUUGUAAACUGCUUUUAUCUGGGAAGAAAAGUCGGCAUUUAUGCUGAUCUGACGGUACCAGAGGAAUAAGCACCGGCUAACUCCGUG
rnacentral:rRNA from 1 species